UUCCUGAAUCCCUUGUUGCACACCCUGUUUUUCAGGCUCUGAGGGUAGCUUGUGUACACAACCUCCAAGAUGAGCGUGGGGAGGUGCUAAGAACCUCUCACUAUGCACUAAAUCCCAGAAAUGGUGUGAUAUUGCUGCCUUAGGGCCCUGCUACAUGUUUAAAUUAAAGCUGGAUAGAAAGCUCAGUAUGGGGGAGUAUAGGGAAUGAGCCCCAGAAUGUGCUUGUUGUUCUUCUCUAAUUCCCUCCUGUUUUCAGUGUCCUUCUUAAAAAGGAGUAUUGCAAUAAUGUCAGCAAAGCCAUAUACUGGGGUAAUAUCUCCCUACUCCUUAAAAUUGCCUUUCAUGUAUCUAGAGAUUAUUAGCCAUUUUAUCCAGAGCUUGAAGUCAUGUUGGUUAAUCUCCAUGACCUAUAAAGGCAAUUAGAGUGCCUAAAAAAUGAGUCACUGACUCUAUAGAGAUGAGUCCGAGAAAUGGGAUUAGUUUUAUAAGCUUCCUAUGUAGUUUCCAAAGGACAAUUCAGAAAGGCAUGGCACUGAGCAGGAAGCAGCCUUGAGCAGGCUGACGGGAGAUGCUGAACUCGGAGGUUAUAGCUGAAAUCCCACAAGUCUCUGGGGCUUAGAUGUUUCUGUCCACACAGAAUCCAGAGAGCUGGAUAUUCUGGAAGAUAGGUGUGCAGUAGGGCUGUACAAAGCUUCGGUCACUGAUUUGAUUCGGAGGAGAUUUGGCCCGAUUUGGUGGCCGAAUCUCUGAAUCCAAAUUGAAUCAGGAGACCCUUUAAUCUCUCCGAAUCAAAUCGGAAGCCUCCGAAUUGACUCGGAGAGAUUCAGGGAUGGGGAGACUCUUACAAGAAGGUUAUUUCAGUUGGGUAAAACAAGCAAAGGCUCAGAGUGGAUGACUGCUCUCUCUAAAUACAUCAGGGGUAAAUAGCAGGAAGGGAAAAGAACUACGUGAGGUAAAGGAGACUGUUGGCACAAGAACAAAUUAAUAUAAACUGACCAUGAAGAAACUUAAGCUGAAAAGUAAGAGAAGAGUCUAAACCAUUGGAACAAUCAAGCUCUGAAGCAGUCUUCCAGAAGGAGCAAAAAAAAUAUCACUUUUAAGCCAGACUGUUAAGUUUAUAAAAAAAAAA